rnacentral:tRNA from 11 species
GGUCUUGUGGUCUAGUGGUAUGAUUCUCGCUUCGGGUUUGCCCGAUUAAGUGCACUUAAUCUGAUAUGCGAGAGGCCCCGCGUUCGAGUCGCGGCAAGACCC